rnacentral:misc_RNA from 1 species
UGAUGAUGAUCAUGAUGGCCGUGAUGGUGGUCAUGAUGAUGGUCGUGAUGCUCAUGAUGAUGGUCAUCCUCAUCUUCAUCUUCAUGCUCAUCUUCGUCU